CUGACAGUAUCGAUGGUUCCAUUCCUCUUCCCAGGUAGAUGUUAAUGUCUCUUCUGGAGUGGAAGCCUGGUUAAAAUUGGUUCUGUUUUUAAAAAAAAAUCACGAGUCCAGGAUAAAGUUAUCCACAAGGUGAUUCCCAAAAGCCAAGGUUAUAAGAAAUAAGAGCUGCAGGAAGACUUUGACCCUGGAAGCCUGCUCCUCAAUGCAAUAAGAUCAAACUGAACCUCCAUCUCAACUUCACCUUCCUGCACGAUACCCACGCCUCAAUUUCCUUCAAGGUCAUUGUAUUUCUGCGUUCUCUAAAAUAUGCUCAACGACUCAAUGUCUGAAACUUUCUGGCGUAAAGAAUUCCAAAAAUUCAUAACACAUUAACAAAGACAUUUCACCUCCUCUCAGUCCUAAAUUACAAAGCCUUUAUUCUGAGACUCUGUCCAUGUUUUCUGGAUUUCUGACACCUGGAAGACAUUUUCAAUAGUUGAUUCUAUAAAGCCCUUUAAUAAUUUUAUCUAUGUCUUCUUUUUAUAACGACCAAGGGACGUAGGCCUAGUCUACUCACUGAACUUCCCCCAUCUCAGAAAUUAGCCUCAUACAAUUGUUGCACUCAUCCUCGAAUGGGGCUGCAUUGAUGUCGAUCUUUCAAAACUCGACAGACCCUGGAAGAAUUCCUAUGGAUUGGAGGGGAGCUCAUGUAAUCCCACCAUUAAAAAAAGGACGUGGAGAGAAAACAAAAAAAAAAUCGGAGCCCGGUUAGCCUGAAAAUCAGUAGAAGGGAAAAUACUACAGUCUAUUCGAAAAGAUUUCAUAGCAGAACACUUGGAAAACAGUCACAGGAUUGAACAGAGACAACAUGGAUUUACAAAAGGGAGAUCAUGCUUUUACAAAUCUACUGGGAUUUUUCAAGAUUGUAACUAGUAGAGCUGAUAAGGGGGACAUCAGUGGAUGUGGUUUGCUUGGACUUUGAUAAAAUCCCAUAUAAGAGGCUAACAUUUAGAAUUGAAGUGCAUGUGA